UGGCUCUGGCAUCGAUGAAGAACGCAGCGAAAUGCGAUAAGUAAUGUGAAUUGCAGAAUUCAGUGAAUCAUCGAAUCUUUGAACGCACAUUGCGCCCUCUGGUAUUCCGGAGGGCAUGCCUGUUCGAGCGUCAUUAUCUCCCCUCAAGCUCAGCUUGGUGUUGGGGCCUGCUCCCUGUGGGCAGCCCUUAAAAUCAGUGGCGGUGGGCGUCUGACUCUAAGCGUAGUAACUAUCUCUCGCUAUAGGUUCAGGCGGUCGCUUGCCAUAACCCCCCAAUUUUUUAAUGAUUGACCUCGGAUCAGGUAGGGAUACCCGCUGA
rnacentral:misc_RNA from 1 species